UUCUGCAUCCGCGGCUGGUGCAUCGUGGGCAAGAAGCAGACGUGCCCGUACUGCCGCGAGAAGGUCGACCUGCGGCGCAUGUUCAGCAACCCCUGGGAGCGGCCGCACGUGCUCUACGGGCAGCUGCUGGACUGGCUGCGCUACCUGGUGGCCUGGCAGCCGCUCAUCAUCGCGCUCGUGCAGGGCAUCAACUACGCGCUCGGCCUCGAGUAGGGCGCCCCACGGCACCCAUGGG